rnacentral:rRNA from 1 species
AGGAUGAACGCUGGCGGCGUGCCUAAUACAUGCAAGUCGAGCGGUAAGGCCCCUUCGGGGGUACACGAGCGGCGGACGGCUGAGUAACACGUAGGAACGUACCCCAAAGUGAGGGAUAAGCACCAGAAAUGGUGUCUAAUACCGCAUGUGCUCUUCGGAGGAAAGCUUCGGCGCUUUGGGAACGGCCUGCGCAUGAUUAGCUUGUUGGUGAGGUAAUAGCUCACCAAGGCGACGAUCAUUAGCUGGUCUGAGAGGAUGAUCAGCCAGACUGGGACUGAGAACGGCCCAGACUCCUACGGAGGCAGCAGUAGGGAAUUUUCCACAAUGGGCGAAAGCCUGAUGGAGCAACGCCGCGUGCAGGAUGAAUGCCUUCGGGUUGUAAACUGCUUUUAUAUGUGACGAAUAUGACGGUAGCAUAUGAAUAAGGAUCGGCUAACUCCGUGCCAGCAGCCGC